AUGGCGGUUCCGUUGUUGAAGAAGGCGAUCGUGAAGAAGAGGGUCAAGCAGUUCAAGCGGCCCCAGAGCGAUCGUACUGUUUUGUUACAGACCAACUGGAGGGUGACUCUUGUGUAAGAUGAAAUUUCAAGGGAGUUUACUCUCAUGCGCAACAUUGGUUAUGGUUCUGACAAGAAGACUCGCCAUUACCUUCCCAAUCAUUUCAAGAAGUUUGUUGUCCACGACGUGAAGAUGCUUGGAAGUUCUGAUGAUGCAUAAUAGGACCUAUUGUGUUGAGAUUGCACACAAUAUCUCUACAAGGAAGAGGAAGGAAAUUGUUGAGAGAGCUGCUAGGUUGCGUAGCCAAGAGGAUGAAUGAGCUUGUUUUAGACAUGUUUUGUAGUGGUUAUUUUGUUUUUGACCUGAAAAUGAGUUUUAGACAAAUAUUUAAUACUCAUUAUGGAAAAAUUACUCUUGAUUAAUCCUAUGAUGUGUACACGCUGUUUUCGGUCUUUAAUUCAAUCAUACACAAGGUGUUGUGUACAACUUCAUAUACCUGUUUGGAUUUUGUUUUGACAGGCACUCCUUAUUGUGUCAACCUUACCCUCUUUCCCAUUUCACUCCCAGAAAAGAUCUGGUUAUAAGUAGUUGGUUCAUUGACAGGUUGAAAUAUUUUAGUGAGACGAAAUUGUGAUAACCUGAAUAGCGUUGAAAUCAGCAUCGUCUCGUUUAUCUAGUGGACGUAGUUGGACGAACCUGUUUAUGUGUUGUAGUUUACCGGUAAAAACUGAUAAAAGAAA